UUUUUAUUUUGAAGUACUUCUGUAGUCUUCUGCAGGCUUUAAAAUAGUGUUUCACUUCAGUUCAUUAGAUCUUGGGAAUUAGAGAUACUAGUGAGCCUUUGUCCCUUUGUGAUGUCACACUCUUCACCUCCUGGAUUGUUCCACACCCAGUGCAACCCUGGAUCCUAGAGCCUCUGCUUGUGGCUGAACUGAUGUCACACCAAUAGUUGGUUAUACUGUGGUGUGAAUGAAUGUUGUUAAUUAAGAGAGCAAAGAGCCGAGACUUGACAGUUGUAACGAAAACUGCAUUGUAGCAUAUUUUGUUAACCUACCCCCGCAUGCCAUGUUUCAGGUUCCCAGGAUUCUAGGAAAGAGGUCACAUUGGUUUCUUUGCCAGCUGAAACCUAAGGCCUCUGACAGUUUUCAGCUCUUCUUGCCCUGUGAAGCACAGCUCAGAGUCAGGUUCUUAGGAGGAGGGCUUAGGGCUUGUUAGGGUGAGAGGUGUAAGGGCCUAGGAGUUGAGAGGCCUUGUCAACCCCUGGCUGUACUUCACGGACCCAGGCCUUGGUUUCCCCAGCUAGCAAAUGAAUGGGGUGGUACUGGGCUUCUGGCUCUGUUGAUACAUUUCAGUAGUGUUUUACUCUUCCCAAAGCUGUGACUGCAGUGGACUGGCUGCACUACUUUCUGUUGCAGAUGGCCAAAGAGUCAAGGAGACAACUAAGGGCAGGCAUGACGUUGUGGGCAGGGAGUUAUCGCUAACCUGUUACAGUUUCUGGUUCUGCUAAGGGUUAAUGGCCGUGGUCUCCAUUUGGCUUAGAAAAUGUCCUUCUAGGUAUCCCUUUUUGUUUUCCAGCCACGGUGCUGUCCCACCAGCAGUUCAGGAGCAUUUGCCCCUUGGCCUCUCAGCACUUCCCAGCCUCCUGCUAGAGACCAGGAAAGACUAUAGAAGAAAGGUGAUGUGUGUUCAAACUGAACCUUUGGUUUAACCAUGAAAAAUGCCCAUUUCAGAAGCCUUGUAGUUCUCAAAAACACAGAGAACCCAAAAAGGUAGCUUUAGGAGUUUUUAAAGUUGUUGGCCUUCCUCACCUCUCUCUCUGGCCUGCAUUCAGCCACUCAGGUCUUGUAGCAUCUUGAGCAUACCCUGAGUGCCCACCUUGUCUCUGGAGUUAGGAGUGAGGGAGACAGUACAACUCGACAAGCAGCAGGCAUUCUCUCUACAUGCAGGCAGUAGGACUACACACUCUGUACUAUUCCUCUCAAUCCUUACAGGUGGGAGAUUUUAAGUACAAUAUUGCUGCUUGAUAGUAAUUGCAGAUACCUCAUUUCUGUUUCCCUUCUCUCUUGGGAGAAUGCCAGGCACACAAGAGAACUUGGAGGAGCCCACCACAAUAUGUUAACACUCCUCUGGUCCCCUGUGUAGUCUGAUCCCAUGAAUCGCUUCUUGGUUCAGCCCCUGCCUCACCCUGCUCCCUCUGCCCUGACUCUCCCUUUCCAGCCUGCACACUGCAGCCAAGAUGAACUUUUGUGGUUAGCAGCUUCAUUGAGAGAUGAUUUCCAUAGUAUAAAAUUCACCAUUUAAAGUGUACGUGUCAGUGUAUUUUAGAGUUGUGCAACCAUCACCAUAAUCAAUUUUAGAACAUAUUUAUUAUCAAAAAGAAACCUUGCACCCAUUAAGAGUCACUCCUCAUUCUUCUUUCUGUCUAGCUCCUGGCAGCUACUAAUCUGUCUUUGUGGCUUUGCCUUUUCUGGACAUUUGGUAUAAAUGGGGUCAUACACUGUACAUUUGUGACUUCCUUCUUUCACUUAACACGUUUUCAAAGUUCAUCCAUGUUUUUGCUUGUAUCUGCACUUCAUUUUCUUAAAUUGCAGAGUAAUAUUCUGUUGUGUGUACCACAUUGUAUAUACCAUGUUUUAUUUAUCCAUUAAUCAGCUAAUGAACAUUGAGGUUGUUUCCACCUUUUGGCUAUUUUGAAUAGGUUUCUGUGAACAUUUAUAUACCUGUUUGUUAUUACUUGUUUGUUUGUGAACUUUUUUGUGUGUGUGUGACAGGGUCUCACUGUGUAGUCCAGGCUGGUAUUGAACUCACUGUGUAGUCCUGGCUGGUCUUGAACUCACAGCAAUCCUGCUGCAGCCUCCAGAGUGUUGGAAUUACAGGCAUGAGCCACCACACUCAACCAGUUUUUUUGGUUUAUAUCUAGGAGUGGAGUUGCUGGGUCAUAUGGUAACUCUCUUUUGAUUGGACCCAGGACCUUGCACAUGGUAGGCAAGCAUUCUUCCACUAAGCUAUAUCCUUAGCCCUUUUUAAAAAUUUUGAUACAGGGUUUCACUAAGUUCCACAGGAUGGCCUUGAAUUUGUGAUCAUCCUGCCUUAGUCUCCUAAGUAGCUGGGAUUACAGGCAUACACCAGCAUGACCAGCUAAUAAGUAUCUCUUCAAUCCUUUGAGAAAUUGCUGGGCUAAUUUCCUAAACAGCUGUAUUGGGGCCGGGGAUUUAGCUCAGUGGUUCUGGCGCCUCCCGCACAAGCACAAGGUCCCGAGUUCGAUCCCCCGUACCAAAAACAAAAAAACAAACAGCUGUAUUGUUUUACAUUCCUGUCAGCAGUGUAUGAAGGUUCCAUUUUCUCCACAUCUUCAGCAACACUUUUUUAAAAAUGUGAAAUGGUAUCUCUGGUUUUGAUUUGUACUUCCUUAAUGGUCAGUGAUAUUGGGCAUCUUUUCAUGUGCUUCAGGAUGAACUUUAAAAAAUGUAAAUCUGAUCUUUUUAUUCCACUGCUCGAAACCUUUCCAGAGCUUCCUUAUCCCCUUUGGAAUAAGUCCAAGCUCCUUUGACAGCUCAUAAAAGCUGGUUAUGACCUGGCCUCUGGGCCUGCUUUCCCCUGUCCUCUGCUCACCCAUCUUUGGGAGAGGGGAUGCCAGGGUAGUGGGCAUUGAACUCAGGCCCUUUGCAUUGAGCAUUAUCUUUAGCCCCUUAAAUUUUUGAAAGAUAGUCUUGCUAAGUUGACAAAUUGUCCGGGCUGGGCUUGAACUUGGAAUCCUCUUGCUUCAGUCUCCCAGAGGUGUGCACUGCACCUUCUGGCUCCUUGGAUCCAUCUUGAUCUCACCAACCUUCCAGACUCAGCACAGGGCACAUUCCCAGUGACACACUUUCCUGGUCCUCUUCCCCUGUCACCACAGCCUUGAGCUCUUAGGGGCCUCUCCAGGAAGCAGUCCUCAAUGUUCAGAGCCAAGGUGCAGGUUCUGUGUGUGUCCCACUACUGACACGAAGGAGUCUUACUGACGUAAUGUCAGUGCCUAAGAUCAAACUGAGUAUAAUCAAAAUUCCUCUUGGACCUCCUGCCUACCUGGACUCACAGAGGAACGUGGGGAAGGUGGAAUGGCCUAAGCAAUUUGUAAUUGUUUUUUUGUUUUUCUGUUUUGUUUUGUUUUUAAAUAACUUUUUAGACAGAUACCAUUGUGUUUAACUAAGUAAAGUACAUGUAUUGUCAGAUAUGGUAUAUUCACCAACCCAGCACCUGCACACUGGACUGGACCUUUCUAGUCCUAGUUUGUCUGUUUUGCUAGACUGUAAGCUCCGUGAGAGCAGGGCCAUGUUUGGCUUGUUCACUGGGGUUUCCCCACACCUCCACCCAGGCAUGCCACCUAGCAGGUCCUCUCUAAACAUUGGAAUUUUAAAUCCCCAGCCUCAGAGCUGCUUCAUCUGAGCCCCCCGGGUUAUUAUAGGCCAAGCCUCCUCCUUCUGCCAUGUACAAACAGUGUCUUACUCUCUAUUUUAUUUUCCUCCUAGCCUGUGAGCUCCUACUGAGCAGGAAUCUUCAUGUUUUUCUUGUGUCUUUGUACUAGGCCAACCCAGAAUUAGUGCUUCAAGUGUUUGGGAAAUGAAUGAAUCAUGGUAACCUAGGCCUGCUUUUGCACCAUUGUCUACAAGCUAGUCUAAUUCAAGAUGAGACCACCAGAUACAAAAAGGGGGCUUCCAUGGUACAUACACUGUGCUUAUGUAAGUUAAAGCUCUCAGGUAGGCCUCAGUAAACAUCCAGUGUUGAUGACCGUGGCACAUCUAAGCAGAAGUUUAUCCAGCUCUACAAAGAAUUUGCUAGCAAAUCAUGCAACCUGGAGUAUUUUUUAGAAAAGCAUUCAUCUGCCCCAAGGUAGAAAGAAAGGAAACUGACAGAUAAGUGAGAGGCCCCAAAGAGAGACUGCUAAGCCAGUUAUUAGGCUCUGGUCCUUCUGGAGUGGAAAGUGACAGCAGUCUAAAACAGGUGACAAGAAACAGCUCAUUCCCAGCAGCAACUUGUUUGCCUAAAGUAGCAUUCCUCCGGCUUCCCAAGUGGAGCAUUGUGAAGGUAACAGGAAAAUGCUCACACGCACUUUGGAUUAGCAACAGCAGUAAGUUAUGGCUUUGCAGAUUAGUUAACUGCUGCCCAAAUAAGUUUGAUGCAUAAGCAUUUGCUUUUAUGGCAAGAAGUAAGUUAGAAAUUAAACAAUUAGAACUAAGAAGGAAGCAUGCUCGUGGUAAUCUUGAGAAUAGCAUAUUCACUUCGAGGCAGAUUGUUACUGUGUCAUUUGACCCACAACAAAUAUCUAAAACUUUUCUUAAAUAUUUAUAAAAUAAAUCUUUUUUUUUUUUUGGUACUGGAGAUAGAACUUGGGUCCUUGUGCUUGCGGAGCAGGCGGCGAAACCACUGAGCUAAAUCCCCGGCCCUAUAAAAUAAAUCUUAGGAGGAAAAAAAAAUACUGCAACUUUUUUCCCCCCAGUGAAAUUCUAUGAAUGUCUCACAGAACUUUGUUGUUCCUGGGAGCAGUUAGGGAAACACUGCCUCAAACAUCUGUUUUAAAUAGUUGAGAGGCAUCAAAGUGGGAUUUUGCUGUGCUAUAAAUAAAACACUAAAGUAUGGGUGGUAUUUAACUUCCCAGUCACUGCCCUGCUUGGAGAGUCUCACCUGUUUGAGCAAUUCCAAAGGUCCUGUUUGGAUGCCCACAUUCUUAAGAAGCUAUGUGUUUCCUCAGACCAUGUGUCUCUCUCACCCCUAGACCAGUGUAGGUUAGUACAGGCGAGAGGUCCUUAUCUUUGGUGAGACAGAAGACACAGUCUUCCUCUCUCUCCUUUGGGUGGUCGUAGAUCCUGUGAUGUGUCGUCCCUCUUCCUCCUUAUGGACAAGAGCAUCUCAGAGGGUCUGUGAGCAGUUACUUGGCAGGACCUUUAGCUCAGGGAAGAAUGUCUUUUAGGGAAAGAAAUAGGAUGAUGGCCAGAGCUGGGGCUGGAGCAAUAGGAUCUCAUUCUACCUCAUAUACUUAACUGGAAAAGACUGACAUCCCUUCCUUUCUGGGCCUUAGCCCUGCAGUCUGUCAAAUGAAGGGCUCCACUGGAAUAUCUAUUUUCCUUGUAGAGCUAAAUUGUGUUUGAGGACCUCUGCUGCCUUUCCCAAGGAACACUGGGAGUGUAAACUAGACAAGAAGGAGGUGGGGCCAGCAAGAGGCUGGUCCUGUGAUCCAGUGCCACCUUUCCCCUCCCAGCCCCAGUUACAACAGGAUAAGAGGUCCUCUCUUGCUCCUUCCUCUUCACAUACCUCAUGUGCAGCAUAUUCACACCCACACCCACACACCAUUCAGUCUUGUUUGGGACGCCAGCCCAGUAUGUACGUCUACUGGGGCAGAAUGAGAAAGUAUCAUGGCAUGGGCUUAGACAGCAGGCAUUUUCCUCACAGGGCUGGAGCUGGGAGACAGAUCAAGGUGCUGGGAUGGCGAGGGCCCUCUGCCUAGCUUGCUCAGUGACAUUCCUGUGUGUGCAUGUGACCCUUCUUAUAAUGCCACCAAUCCUAUCAAGUUGAGGCCACACUGAACCCUUUUGACCUCUGUUAAUUUUAUCUCCUAAAAGCCCCAUCUCCAAAUACAGCAACAUUGUGGGUAGGAGCUUCAACAUACACAUUUGGAGGAGGAUGCAGUUAAGUUCACAGACCAGUAAUAACCACAGACCAGUAAUAUCCCCUGUUUAUUUUUUGAGACAAGGUCUUUCCUUUAGCUUAGGCUGGCCUCAAAUUUGCAGUGAUCUUCCUGCCUCAGCUUCCCAAGUGCUAGGAUCAGAGGUGUGCACCACCACACCUGGCUCUGCUUUUUUGUUAUUGUUUGUUUAAACAUAACCUGUGGAUCUGAAGCGGGGUGGGUGUAGUGGUUCAGAGUUCUGGUUUUGGGGAAGAUAACUUGUUUGGGUCUUACUCAGCCACUUACUGUCUAUCUGGCUUUGGGUAAAGUACUUAUCCUCUGUCUGGGAGCCAGCACUCGUAUCUGAAAUCGGGGUACCCUCAGAUGAAGGCUCGCGUGCAAAGCCCUGGCCUCGGGUCUGUGCUCCCUGCUGAGCGCUCAGCCAGUGGUUGUGAUCACCACUGCUCUGCCCCAGAUGCCCUGCAGCCCUCAAGCUUCCCCUGUCUGGAGGCCGGGGGUAGCCUCCUCCACUUGUGGUAUCACAUUCUGUUUCUGACCGAUGAGAUCUCCAGGCAGAGCAGGUCCACCUCAUGCCACACACCCUCUCUAACCCUGAACAUUUUGCAAAACUUUUUAUUUUGAAAUAAUUUCAAAAUCCUAGCACAGUGUCAAGGAGAGGGCAAAGAACAUAUUGCCACAUUUUAUUUUACCACUUAGUCUUUCCUUCCUUUUCUCCCGUACUAGUUUGUAGUUCAUGCUUCAGCUUUACCAGCUGUUUGAGUAAUGAUAUUCAGACCAGUUUUUUUUUUCCAGUCUACAAUCCAGCAUCAUGUGCUGUCCUGCCUUUAGUUAUCCUCUCUAUAGUCUCCUUUAAUGUGGAACAGUUCCUCAGCCUUUCUUUGUUGUUCAUGACAUUGAUGUUUUUGAAGAGUACAGUCCAGUUGGUGGUUGUAGAUUGUCCUUCAAGUUGGUCCCUUGACAUUUGCUUAAAGUAAAACAAAGCAAGCCACUUUCCCAUUUCUUUUAAGUGUGUCGUAUUUGCUGAACACCCAGCUGUGUAUUGGAUGCUGAGAAGGAGGAACAUUACAUAGCAAAGCCUGGCCACAACCUGGAGACCUUAAGUUUGGGUUUUGGGGAAAAGUGUUACUAUCAGGCAGGCUUGCAGGGCCCCUCUGCAUGCUCACACACAAGCUUGGAAUAGUACAUCUUGGAUGCAGGGUGAGUCCAUAUUCGAGAGAUCUACAGAGAUGCAGAAAAAGGCCUUGCUCCCAGUCACUGACCCUGCCUGGCCUCCUGAGAUGCCUGGGUGUUCACACUCCACACACGAACUUGCUUCUCACAGAUGUCCAUGUGAGCUGCGGUCCUCUGUCCCAGCCCUGUCUUCCCAAGGAUUUACUGUCUGACUUUGGGCUGCUCUCUUCCUUCUGGGCCAGUGCUGGGGGGAGGAGUCCCUAUAUGGCUCUUAUCAAGCGCCCUUGAAACGAAGGUGCAUCGGGGGAGAAGGAGUCACUGAGCACUGGAGUGGGGGGAAGAUGGGUUGAAGGCUGCAGGCCCUGACGUAGACUGUGAUGGAGGUUAAAACCUUAGGAUGAUCUGCAUCGUGAUGUGGCAGGAAAAUCAUCAGACCUAGAACUUACUUUCUCUGUUGGGUGCUGUCCAGGGGGAAAUGGUGAAUUGUAAUCUUUACUCAGCCAUGUAAAAUCUCUACUCAACAUGUAAUACCAUGUAAAAUCUAGUCAUGGGUAUUUUGUGAGACCAAAGCAGACAAUGCAAAAGUGUAUGCAGUGUCAUCAAAUCUUCACAGAACUUUGGCCAAGUGAGCUUUCAGUGUGAGAAAAAAAAUAAAGUUGAUUUUUGUGUAGUCAUAAAGUCAAC
rnacentral:lncRNA from 1 species